GUUCUGCUAACCGCAUCACAGAGCACUAGUUGCGGAACUCUGCCGUCGGUGUGCCGAGGAAGACAACCUUGAACUUCCGCAAUCUUGUCGCCAUCCGUCCUCCUCUGCGAUCGAAGAGAAACUAUAUGAUUUUGCAAGCUACCCUUCUUAGGAGCCUGAUGAAAUGGUUUUUGUUCCCUCUUCUAUAGAGCAUGAUGAACAUUUUGUUCAGAAAUCACUUUGAAUGAUUAUUGAUUAUCUCUGUUUACUGUUGUUGUAUUCGUUCUUCUCUACUCUGAAUUUUACUGUAUUGUUGUGCUUUUUGUGCUCAUUGUUUUUAAUUCAAUGAAGUAAUAGAUGAAUUGAAUUAACUCAAUUAACUAGUUAAGUAUAUGAUCAAAUAUUUGUUAUUGGUUUGG